UUUUUUUUUUUUUUUUUUGCUUUUUCUAGGGCCGCUCCUGCGGCAUAUGGAGGUUCCCAGGCGAGGGGUCCAAUCAGAGCUGCAGCCGCCGGCCUCCACCACAGCCACAGCCACGCCAGACCUGAGCCGCAUCUGCGACCGACACCACAGCUCACGGCAGGGAUGGAACCCGCACCCUCACGGUUCCUCGUCGGAUUCGUUCAUGCCGGGAACUCCUGUCUUGCUUGGUUUCUUGAUGUCGCACAGCAGCGCCCUGUGCUAGCUAGUGCCCGUUGGCUCGGUGUUGUGUUGGAGGUGCGUCUGUGUGGUUGAUGUGCCAGUUCAUCGUUCUUUUUCAUGGCGUGCAGCUUUCCAUGGCUUGGAUAGUCCACAGCUUAGCCACUCUAAUACUGGUGGAGGUUUGGCUUAUUUUAUGACUGAUGUGAAUCAAGCUGGUAGGCACGUUCCUGUAUGUGGGUUUUGGCGGAUAAGAGUGCUCCUUUUGGGGCGUUCCUGCUGUGGCUCAGCAGCUUACGAACCUGACUAGCGGUAUUCAUGAGGAUGCAGGUUCGAUGCCUAGCCUCUCUCAGUGGGCUAAGGAUCCUCUGAGGGUUCCUGUGAGCUGUGGUGUAGGUCCCAGACGAGGCUCAGAUCCCACAUUGCCGUGGCUGUGGUAUAGGGCAGCAGCUGCAGCUCUGAUUGGAUCCCUAGCCCAGGACACACGCAGCAAAGGAACAAAAAAGUGCUUCUUUUUCUUGAGUAUAUACCUGAAGUGAAAUUGCUGACAAUUCAUGUGGUCUGACUUUAGAGGAUACUGCCUGAGAGUUUUUCUAAGUGGUUUUAUUAUAUGCUAAUUAAAAAAAUUAGCACGGUGGUAAAACACACGCACAUUUUUAUUGUACGGUCAUUUGAACUUUAAUGCGGAUGUAGAUUCGUGUAUUCACUGCUACGUCACAGUCAGGACGCAGAGCAGUUCCAGCACCCAGAAAAGCUCCCUCUUGCUGUUCCUGGGCAGUCACGCUCUCCACCACCCUUAACUCUGGACAGCCAGGACUUCCUUGCUGUGAUUUUUGUCUUUGGGAGAAGUCAUAUAAAUGGAAUCAUAUGGUGUGUAACUUUUUUAAAUCUUUUUUUUUUUUGAGGCCUGCACUCGAGGCAUAUGGAGGUUCCCAGUCUAGGGGUCGAAUUGGAGCCGUAGCCGCUGGCCUAUGCUACGGCCACGGGAAUACCAGAUCCUAGCCUCCUCCGCUGCCUAUACCACAGCUCAUGGCAACUCCAGAUCCUUGACCUGCUGAGCAAGGCCAGGGUUCAGACCUGCGUCCUCAUGGAUCCUAGUCAGGUUCGUUUCUGCUGCGCCACAACGGGAACUCCAGUAUGAAACUUUGGGAGGCUGGUUCCUUUCACCUGUAGUCACACUGAGCUUCAUCCUUGUUGUUGCAGGUACCAGUGGCUGCUUUUUACUGCCACGUCAAGACCUGUGCCGAAGCUUGCAGUGUUCCUUUGUAUGGAUUUCGCACAAUUACCUGUUCUCCCAUCGGUGCAUGUUGAGGUUUCGAUGAUGAUAAAUAGGGCUUCCGUAAACAAUUGUGUGUAGGGUUUUGUGUGAAAGUAAAUGUUCAGUUCUCGGGGGUAGAUACCAAGGAGCCGGAACAGGGUCAUGAGAGAAUGUUAUAGGAAGUUGCCAAGCUGUUUUUCGGAAUGGCUGUACCAUUUUGACCUUCCACCAGCAGUGAUGACAGUUAGUUGCCCUGCGUCCAAGCUAACAUCCAUAUUGUCAGUAGAUUUUAUUUUAACCAUUUUAAUAAGUAGAUGUGUGGUGGCGUUGUGGUUUUAAGUUACAUUUCCCUAAUGACUGCUGCUAUCGAACACUUAACAUAUGUUUGUUUGCCAUUCUUGUAUCCUCUUGGGUGAAGUGUUUGAGACUCCGCUUAUUUAUUUAUUUGUUAAUUUUUGGCUGCUCCCAUGGCGUAUGGAAGUUCCCUGGCGAGGGGUCAGACCCAAGCUGCUGCUGUGACCUAGGCCAUAGCUGCAGCAACGCAUUGCGUCAGGCUGGGGAUCAAACCUGCACUUCCACAGAGACAAGCUGCAUUACAGUGGGAACUCCUGUUUUUUUUUUUACUCUUGAGUGUUUUUGGGGUUUUUUUUAGGGCCACACCUGAGACAUAUGGAAGUUCCUGGGCUAGGGAUUCAAUCGAGCUGCAGUUGCCACCCUACACCAAGCACAGCGAUGCCGAUGCCGGAUCGGAGCCGCAUCUGCGACCUGUGCUGCGGUUGCAGCAGAGCUGGAUCAAGGCCAGGGAUCAAAUCUGCAUCUUCAUGGAUACUAGUUGGGUUUUUAUUUUUUUGCUCUUUAGGGUCACACCUGCAACAUAUGGAAGUUUCCAGGCUAAGGGUCAAAUUGGAGCUGCAUCUGCUGGCCUACACCACAGCCACAGCCACCCUGACUCCUUAACCUACUGACUGAGGCCAGGGAUCGAACCCGAAUCUUCAUGGAUACUAGUCUGGUUCGGAACCUACUGAGCCACAGCGGGAACUCCACCGGUUGCGUCCUUAACCCUCUGAGCCGCGCUGGGAAUGCCUCUUUUGUGCGGGUUAUUUCUGGACUCGAUUCUGCUCUGUUGGUCUGUGGGUCUAUCCCAUCGCCUAUACACGACAGGCAAAAACUUCCAAGAUGAUUUCUCCAACUGAAAAAAAGUGUUUUUGGUAUUUAGUCAUUUUUUUGGUUUUGUUUUGUUUUUGUUUUUGUUUUCUGUUUUUUUGUCUUUUUGCCAUUUCUUGGGCCGCUCCCACGGCAUAUGGGGGUUCCCAGGCUAGGGGUCGAAUCGGAGCUGAAGCCACUGGCCUACGCCAGAGCCACAGCAACGCGGGAUCCGAGCCGCGUCUGCGACCUACACCACAGCUCACGGCAACGCCGGAUCGUUAACCCACUGAGCAAGGACAGGGACCGAACCCGCAACCUCAUGGUUCCUAGUUGGGUUCGUUAACCACUGCGCCACGCCGGGAACUCCCAUUUGUUUUUUUUUUUUUUAAUACAUUUUAGAAUCAACUUGUCCAUGUCUACAAAUAAUUCUAGUAUUUAAUUUGAGGAGUUCCCUCAUGGCUCAAAGGGGUAAGAAUCUGGCAUUUCACUGCAGUAGCUCUGGUAACUGUGACACAGGUUCCAUCCUGGCCGGGAACUUGCACAUGCCAAAAAAACCAGUAAUUUGAAUCUCCUUAAAACUGUAGGUCAGUUUGGCGGGGAGCCGAGGUAUUUGCUGUUGACUCUUCCAGUCUGUGAACACGGCGUGUGUUUCUCUCUGGUCGUCUUUGAUUUGUGGAUUCAUUGGCAUUUUCCCGGUGAGUCGUCAUAUUGUCUGCGAGUAGGGCAUUUUUUGGUUUGUCUUCCACCCUGGGUGCCUUUUCCUUCCUUUGCUUGCUUGCUUUCGUGCGCUUGGUAGGGCUUUAGAACCGUUUCCUUGUUCUUGAUUUUCGGGGGAGCAUCCAGCCUGUCGCAGUGUGUCUGCUGGAGGGUUUUCCUCAGAUGCCCGUUGCCAUGAUGGGGAAGUUUUUAAGUUUCUAUUCACAGAUACGAAAGCUUGUCAGGUGCUUUUUUGGAUCGGUUGGUGUGGCCGUGUUUUUCUCUUCUUUAGACUGGGGUGUGUGUGUGUGUGUGAGAGAGACCCCACUUGGUCAGGGGUGUGUGUGUGUGUGUGAGUGAGACGUUCCCGGGCCGGGGCUGGAACCUGUGCCUUAGCAGCCCCUUGGGCCGUUGCGGUGGCCCUGCUGGCCCCUUGGCCCUGCCCCAGAGGAGGGCGCACCUUACCCGCGUUUUGUUGAGCGUUGCUGUGUCUGUUUUAUAAGGACGUGUCCAUCGUUCUUGUUUUAUGACAUCCUUGCCUGGCUUUUCCUUGAUGACACCUUUGCUUGUUCUUCUUGCUGUACCUUGUCAGCCAGACUCUGGCCAAAUGGACAGGCUCUUGUCUUUCUUGCUCUCAGCUGGCUUCCGUCCGCUUUGGCGUCCCAGCGCCUUUGUCUGGCACUGGGGCAGCCACGUUGUUCUGCUUGUGUGGUGGGGCCUGCACGGCGUGGACGGGCCACGUCCUUCUCACCUCUGUGCCUUUGUUGGGCUGUUUCUGCGUAGCGUUUCUCUUCCUUCUUUGCCCAGUGACCGCUGCGUCUUCCCAGGAGGGGUCGCGUGCUGUCUCUGUGGGAAGCAUUGCCAUCACCAUGCUAGGCCUGGCUGUUGCUGCCCGUCUGGGUUCCCCUGGAGCCUGUCCUCAGCUGGGCCAGAGACGUUAGACUGGGUUGCAGUCAUUGCUUUAUCGGAACGUUUUCUUCCUUUUUCUUUUUGUUCAUUUACUUAUUUUUUAGAUACUGUUUCAUUAUUUAUUUUACUGCCCUUGCUUAUGGGCCUUCCGGGCUCUCUGCCGUCCACGUGUGGCACUGUCGUGGUGUCUCCUUCCCUCCGGCUUUGGUGAACGUGCUCACCCCCUUGCCUGCAGCACUCACCUUGAUGCAGGAGAGUCUGUGUCCACUUCUUCCUCUCAAGCUCAGACCUGACACUUGACGUCUUUCCCGUGUGGUGUUAGAGAGUUCCCAUCACAGCUGGGAACUCAAAUGGUUGAUCAGUGAGUCUGACGUUGUGGCUGUUCUCACUAGAAUGACCAUUGCGGCAGGUGAGCUCAGCUUGUCUUGUCCCUGUUGAAAGUAAACUCUUCUUUCCAAACUACAAAAUAGUUCUUGGGUUUACUGGUUGGUUUGCUGGAAAACUUAUCAAAAGAAGCUUUUGUCUAAAGCUCUCAGGCCAGCUGUAUGUGUUUGUACGCUGGACACAUCCGUCAGGUAAGAAGAUUGGCUAGGGAGUUCCCUGGUGGCCUAGCCAGUCGAGCAUCCUGUAUUGUCACAGGUUUGAUCCCUGGCCCAGGAACUUCUGCAUCUGCAGGGGUGUCCCCCCCAAAAAAAA
rnacentral:lncRNA from 1 species